rnacentral:lncRNA from 1 species
GCAACAGUAAUGAUUACAACUGGUAAAGAAGAUGUCACUAGAGCAGGCAUGGAAAAUGAGGCAACGGGCACUUCAUCUAAAACUAAACUCAAUUUUUCGCUAUCAAACUCAUGAGCAAAGAGUUGAUCUAUAGAGUCACGAGCUGUCACAAGAGUGUCAUCAUCAAGAUUAUCGUGGCUUCAGCAGGCUCGGUAAUAGGAACAGAAUUGUAGGGGAUGCUUCAUCAUAUGAAAAGACACAUCUUCUGGCUCGCGACCUUUUUACCAAAGAACCCCCAUCAUGUUCCUCCUCCUCUUCAGAAUCUUAGAUUGCAACACCCUUCCUUUUUGAUGAAGAACUCAAGAUUAAAUCUUGAGCUUUUCCUAAAUAAACUCUAGAAGCUACAACAACAUUAGAACUUAUACCUCGAAUGGAAAAUCCUGACAAAAAGAAGGAUCAAAACAAAUUCUAAAGGAAAAAAU